CGUCGCCGGUCAGUGUCAUCCGGUUCGUAGGGACGCCAAUUAAAGACACGGCAGAAAAUUGUCUGGUCCGCCAGAAAAGCAUCCGCUUUGCCGAAUUUUCAGCAGUAAAAUCACUGAAGGCAAGGGAAAAUCACAGUCUGGAGUGUGGACGCCAGCGCCGCCAUCUUGCAAGGGAGCCGGCAAAGAAUACCCGGUGCAGACAAUAAUUUUAUCCUGCUCAUUGGGCAACUAGCCACAGCUGAACAGUUUGACAUCCACGAGAAAGCAAGGCCACCGUGCGAUUCAUCAAACCGUGAGAGAAGUUUUUCGGAACAAAUCACGUGGCGGAUUGCUUAGACCAAGAACAAAGGCCUUCCAUCGGAAGUAAGUUUCCCGCCAUGCUUGAGCACCUGCAAUGAGGCUGAUCGCUUUGCAUCGCAGGGUUUUUGUUUUAUAUUGCAGAUUCUCGUCAGCAAGUAACCAUCCGACAAAUCCACAAGGCACGUCGUCCCCUACGGUCAAGAAUCCGAGACGGUCAUCACACUUUUAUAGCAGCUGGAGUACAGUUUCGGAAUCGGCAUGUGGCGGGGUGAGCCAACAACGGGGAAUUGAACCGGGACGCUGUGUAAUAGGCCGCGAAGGCGUGUGCGUAGGCGAAGGCGUCGGGAGAGGAAGAAUAGAAAUGAGCGGUAUUGUUUAUGUGUAGAGGGGCGCCCCGGAAGAAAGCAGUGAGUAAAACAAAAUAUGUGCGUAAAGUGCAAGAACAGAGUAGAGAAGGGAGCGAGAUGCAGUUGAAUAGGAAAUAGAAAGGAGGAGAGUAGAGAAAAGAAGGAAAAUGAAGGUGAAAUUGAGUUUGAG